AAUAUUGGACAAUGGGGGCAACCCUGAUCCAGCCAUGCCGCGUGUGUGAAGAAGGUCUUCGGAUUGUAAAGCACUUUAAGUUGGGAGGAAGGGCUUUAGGCUAAUACCCUGAAGUUUUGACGUUACCAACAGAAUAAGCACCGGCUCACUCUGUGCCAGCCGCCGCGGUAAUAUAGAGGGUGCAAGCCUUAAUCGGGAUUACUGGGCGUAAAACAGGGGUAGGGGGGUCAGUAAGGAGGGUGUGAAAUCCCCGGGCUUAACCUGGGAACUGCUUUCAUAACUGCUGAGGUAGAGUACGGUAGAGGGUAGUGGGAUUUCCUGUGUAGGGGUGAAAUGCGUAGAUAUAGGAAGGAAAACCAGGGGCGAAGGCGACUACCUGGACUGAUACUGACACUGGAGUGCGAAAGCGUGGGGAGCAAACAG
rnacentral:rRNA from 1 species